AGCAUGGAUGACAGGAGUGCAAUAGCACCAGCAGCCAUGGUCCCCGAGUCGCAGGAUGUGAGGCCCUUCCAAGGACUCUCAAAAUGAGUACAUGAGGUUCCUGAGCCUUGGGCAGUGGAGCCUGGAGCUACAGGAUGAGAUGGACCUCCCAGCUGACAUGGGAAAGAGGUCCUCAGAGAGGAAGUAAGACAUUGACCAGAAGAGACAAUGACUAUUCCUGGUGUCAGCAUUGUCACCCACUAAGUGUGUGGGCAAGAGGAGAGUUGCAGAGGGCAGGACAGUGGAUGCUCAGUAACCAAAUUUACUCAUGAGCCAACCAGCAAGAGGGCACUUCCCUGGCUACCAUUUCCUUGAUCAACCCUGUUCUGCUCACUGAUGGGAAUUCAUACCAGAAACAUCUUUCAAGGAGGUUAUAUCUACAAUGAUUCUUAACGGACACAGUUUCUCCCAAUUUGAAACUGUGCCGAAGAUGCUCGCUGACUAGCUGAGAAAGGACGAGAACAGUGAUCGGCCUCAGACACAGAGGAUGGCUCUCAGGUGUCUUCCUCUGCCCUUCCUAUGCUCCUGGAGCACAAGACCCAUCUGGACUCCC